rnacentral:rRNA from 1 species
UACGUAGGGUGCAAGCGUUGUCCGGAAUUAUUGGGCGUAAAGAGCUCGUAGGCGGUUUGUCGCGUCGGCUGUGAAAACUCGGGGCUCAACCCCGAGCCUGCAGUCGAUACGGGCAGACUAGAGUGCUGUAGGGGAGACUGGAAUUCCUGGUGUAGCGGUGAAAUGCGCAGAUAUCAGGAGGAACACCGAUGGCGAAGGCAGCUCGCUGGGACGGUACUGACGCUGAGGCGCGAAAGCGUGGGGAGCAAACAGG